CCAAGGCUAAAUACUACUGACUGACCGAUAGUGAACCAGUACCGUGAGGGAAAGGCGAAAAGAACCCCGGAGAGGGGAGUGAAAUAGAUCCUGAAACCGUAUGCGUACAAGCAGUGGGAGCCUACUUUGUUAGGUGACUGCGUACCUUUUGUAUAAUGGGUCAGCGACUUAUAUUCAGUGGCGAGCUUAACCGAAUAGGGGAGGCGUAGCGAAAGCGAGUGUUAAUAGCGCGUUUAGUCGCUGGGUAUAGACC
rnacentral:rRNA from 1 species